rnacentral:lncRNA from 1 species
ACAACCUCUAUGGCAGCCUGUGGACACUCGCAUUCCUAAUAUGUUGCUCUCACAAACUGGAAUUUUUAUUUUAAAUCUUUAAGUUUAUCAGAGCACCUCUGUACCCCCACACCAGAAUGCAUUCGCCAAACUGGCAUGCCACUCUGUAAAGAAGAUAGCCUCACCAGGAUUUCUCAUACACCGCUCACCCAGACUUCCCACUGGAUAAGUGCUGCCUGUGCCCUGGACCCUACCUGCCUUUGGGGAUUAGAGGCUGGGGAGCAGAACAGGGCAGAGGAAGCUUUACUUCUCUGGAGUAACCAAGAUGCCUCAAGCAACACUGCUACCACGGCGUUGUAGCCCACAGAGUGUGCACAAAGCAUCAUUAUAAACACAUCCUGAUGUGUCUUACCUGUGUGUGUCUGUGUUUCCCUCUACUGCUCCAUAGCAUGGAGCUGCCAUACCCUGUGCAUAUCAUGAAUCUAAUCUUCAUAUCUGCACAAGCAAUUAUUGCAGACUUCCCAAAGGGGUUUUUGCCUUUUAAUAAUAAAAUGGAUGAGUGCAAAAUUACUGAUUUGGAUAUGUUUAUUCAAAUAAUUACUUUGAAUAUUUAUUCUUAGAUUUCUUUCUUUUAUCACUACAGCUACUAAUCUUUACAUUUUCCUCUAAAAUUUUUUCACAGAGGUUUUUUGGUUUACAGGGGUUGUUGUUGUUGUUGCUGCUGCUGCUGUUUUGGACAUGGUUUUGCUAUAUAAAUCAAGAGCAGCCUGAAAGUCAUGACCGCCAUACCUAGUAUUAACCUUUUGUUACUCUAACUGUGCCAAACCUACUGCAUUUUCACUUUUAAUAAAGCCUAUGGUGUAUGAGCUUAA